rfam:Mastigocladus laminosus TT774 scaffold_4, whole genome shotgun sequence.
GUCAGUAACCCAGCCCUAAAGGGACUGGGCUUGUAAGAGAAAUCAAACAAGCUGUACUGACCAGUCUAAGUCUUAACUGACUACGUUUUUUGAGUCACGACACCGGAGAAUGCGUACGCCCCCGGCGUUGCCGAAGGCUAGCUAGUUUUCCGCUCUGUCGCUGGUGGUUAAACAGUUUUAAGGUCACUGAAACAGUGCUACUAGCCUAAAAAGCUCUUAAAACAUUGACGAAGCUAACAUUAC